ACAUCUGUCCAGCUCCUAAACACUUCUUGCCCUGCUGUGUCCUUCUGUUCACCAGACCGCUGUCCUUCAAGUCUACAGCAGCAAGAUCCAAGAUGAUGACCUCCUAAUAUCCAGAAUUAGUUUCAGAUCAAACAAUAAUUGGCAGACCCCCUGCAGUACCACUGCGGACCCCCUGUCGAAGACCCCAAAGAUCAUAAAACGGACAAAAGAAUCCCAUUAAGGCAGAGAAUUCAAGCCUUUAGAGACCAGAGACUUGGUAGUG